UUUUAUUGUUCUGUACCUUUUUCUGAAUUGUUUUGUGUAUAAACAUAUUAAUCCCGAUAUUGAUGGUAUAUUCUUUUGUUAGUAGGAAACAAUUUAAACUGUUUGGUAGUUUAAGGUAUCAAAGAAGGACUUAUUGGAGACAACUAACAAAAUAUCCAACUGUUGAUGAACGAACAGAACUAUCUAGAGAUGUUUUACAGAAAGCAAUAUUAAACAUUGAAAAGCAGUUGCAGAAAAUGAAUGCGGACAGAAAGAUUA